rnacentral:rRNA from 1 species
CAAGUCCAACGGUACAGGGGGCAACCCCUCGAGAGUGGCGAACGGGUGAGUAAUAUAUCGGAACGUGCCCAGUCGUGGGGGAUAACGUAGCGAAAGUUACGCUAAUACCGCAUACGAUCUACGGAUGAAAGCGGGGGAUCGCAAGACCUCGCGCGAUUGGAGCGGCCGAUAUCAGAUUAGGUAGUUGGUGGGGUAAAGGCUCACCAAACCAACGAUCUGGAGCUGGUCUGAGAGGACGACCAGCCACACUGGAACUGAGACACGGUCCAGACUCCUACGGGAGGCAGCAGUGGGGAAUUUUGGACAAUGGACGCAAGUCUGAUCCAGCCAUUCCGCGUGCAGGAUGAAGGCCCUCGGGUUGUAAACUGCUUUUGUACGGAACGAAAAGGUUUCUAUUAAUACUAGGAGCUCAUGACGGUACCGUAAGAAUAAGCACCGGCUAACUACGUGCCAGCAGCCGCGGUAAUACGUAGGGUGCAAGCGUUAAUCGGAAUUACUGGGCGUAAAGCGUGCGCAGGCGGUUAUGUAAGACAGAGGUGAAAUCCCCGGGCUCAACCUGGGAACUGCCUUUGUGACUGCAUAGCUAGAGUACGGUAGAGGGGGAUGGAAUUCCGCGUGUAGCAGUGAAAUGCGUAGAUAUGCGGAGGAACACCGAUGGCGAAGGCAAUCCCCUGGACCUGUACUGACGCUCAUGCACGAAAGCGUGGGGAGCAAACAGGAUUAGAUACCCUGGUAGUCCACGCCCUAAACGAUGUCAACUGGUUGUUGGGUCUUCACUGACUCAGUAACGAAGCUAACGCGUGAAGUUGACCGCCUGGGGAGUACGGCCGCAAGGUUGAAACUCAAAGAAUUGACGG